rnacentral:misc_RNA from 1 species
CUAUUAUCCUUAGAAAGCCAAAGAUCAAUGCAAACUUUAUGGAAAAUAUGGAUGCAAGAAGGAAGAAACAUCCUACACUCGUCUUCUUCUUUGAACUUCUCAAAACAUAUAGCACACUCAUCACUGAUCUGCCAACGAGUAAAGGACGGGAAUUCUUCUUCUAAGGCCUCCGCCGUCAGCUGUGGUUUGGUAGUCGCCGGAUGAUCAUCUUCAUCACUUAUAAUUUCGAUUUCUCUAUCAAGAACUCGACCACCAAGUUUCCACAACCAGAAAUAGCACUGCAGAAUGAAGAAAAG